UACGAGAGGCCCAAACGUUAUUCGGAAUUACUGGGCUUAAAGAGUUCGUAGGCGGCGCAGCAAGUAGGGUGUGAAAGCCCUCGGCUCAACCGAGGAAUUGCGCUCUAAACUGCUGUGCUCGAGGGACCUAGAGGUGAGCGGAACUGAUGGUGGAGCGGUGAAAUGCGUUGAUAUCAUCAGGAACACCGGAGGCGAAGGCGGCUCACUGGGAGUCUUCUGACGCUGAGGAACGAAAGCCAGGGGAGCGAACGGG
rnacentral:rRNA from 1 species